rnacentral:rRNA from 1 species
CCUACGGGAGGCAGCAGUGAGGAAUAUUGGUCAAUGGACGAGAGUCUGAACCUGCCAAGUAGCGUGAAGGAUGACUGCCCUAUGGGUUGUAAACUUCUUUUAUAUGGGAAUAAAACGUUCCACGUGUGGGAUUUUGUAUGUACCAUAUGAAUAAGGAUCGGCUAACUCCGUGCCAGCAGCCGCGGUAAUACGGAGGAUCCGAGCGUUAUCCGGAUUUAUUGGGUUUAAAGGGAGCGUAGGUGGAUUGUUAAGUCAGUUGUGAAAGUUUGCGGCUCAGCCGUAAAAUUGCAGUUGAAACUGGCAGUCUUGAGUACAGUAGAGGUGGGCGGAAUUCGUGGUGUAGCGGUGAAAUGCUUAGAUAUCACGAAGAACUCCGAUUGCGAAGGCAGUUCACUGGACUGCAACUGACACUGAGGCUCGAAAGUGUGGGUAUCAAACAGGAUUAGAUACCCGGGUAGUC